rnacentral:rRNA from 1 species
AGUGAACGCUGGCGGUAGGCCUAACACAUGCAAGUCGAACGGCAGCACAGUAAGAGCUUGCUCUUACGGGUGGCGAGUGGCGGACGGGUGAGGAAUACAUCGGAAUCUACUUUUUCGUGGGGGAUAACGUAGGGAAACUUACGCUAAUACCGCAUACGACCUACGGGUGAAAGCAGGGGAUCUUCGGCCUUGCGCGAUUGAAUGAGCCGAUGUCGGAUUAGCUAGUUGGCGGGGUAAAGGCCCACCAAGGCGACGAUCCGUAGCUGGUCUGAGAGGAUGAUCAGCCACACUGGAACUGAGACACGGUCCAGACUCCUAAGGGAGGCAGCAGUGGGGAAUAUUGGACAAUGGGCGCAAGCCUGAUCCAGCCAUACCGCGUGGGUGAAGGCCUUCGGGUUGUAAAGCCCUUUUGUUGGGAAAGAAAAGCAGCAGGUUAAUACCCCGCUGUUCUGACGGUACCCAAAGAAUAAGCACCGGCUAACUUCGUG